CUGGGAUCUCUGAACGUCGUGGUCCUGAGCAGCACUCAGGGAUUCACUGGGGGCCAAUAGAUCGCAAGAACGCAGACGGACGGGCAGUGACCUCAGUCUGCGUUCUCUUGAACGUCACAGGAUUCACGGGAUUUGGUUCCUUCUCCUUGCUGGGACAGAGUAAGGAGGGAAGGGACAGAAUAAAGAGAUGAAAUGUAUGCCGUUUGCAAUAAACUUUGCAUAAAAUAGUUAAUUUGCAUUCAAUUUUAAUGGUUUAAAGAAUGUUCACUUCAUCAAAUCUGGCCCUCUUUGAAAAAAAAGUUUGGACACCCCUGGUCUAGGCCUUUUCAACAAAAGAAUGUUGUUAUUUCAGAAAAUCUAGUUCUCAUGAGCUACUAUCAUG